rnacentral:rRNA from 1 species
UACAGAGGGUGCUAGCGUUGUUCGGAAUCAUUGGGCGUAAAGGGCGUGUAGGCGGUUUGUUAAGUCAUGUGUGAAAUCCCUCGGCUCAACCGGGGAACGACGCAUGAAACUGGCAAGCUAGAGUACCAAAGAGGGGGGUGGAAUUCCCGGUGUAGUGGUGAAAUGCGUAGAUAUCGGGAGGAACACCAGUGGCGAAGGCGACUACCUGGCCUGUUCUUGACGCUGAGGCGCGAAAGCUAGGGGAGCAAACGGG